ensembl:lincRNA
AUUUUGGAGAAAGCUUCCUGACUGGAAUAAUAAAUUGUGCUUGAAAAACAUAGAAAUAGAGGAGAGGGCAAGGUUACUUCUGAAAUGGAAAACUAAGUGGCACAUGGUUUGAAAACUCUCAGAAUCACUGGCAUUCCUUGGUCAAGCUGAGUGGAACAAAUCACUCCCCAAACAAAAUUUUUCGGGUUAAUGCUGGGCAACUUGUCUCAAAAAGGAAGUUUUGACUCUAUAGAGCCAGUGGAUGUGGACCAUGGACUUAGGAAGAGAUUUGGACACAAAGCAGAGAACACCGAAGAGCUGCUCAUUUGCACUGAAGUGGUUUGCUGGCUUUCUGCCUAGAUCUGACAUCUCUUCAAAUGGACAGUCCCAACUCUCUCUCAAUUCUCUUCCCCCUUCUCUAAGAAGAAACAGACCCAGAAGUUUCAGUAAGUUGCUCCAUCACAUUGCCAGGGCAGAUUCUGAAACUCACUCUAAAGCAUCAAGACAAUCUUCCCUGUGCAGAUCUAGACCAGUGUCUGGAACAUAGUGGGUACAAUAAAGAGUAAACAAGCGAGUAAUUUUUAUUCCAAGUGACUUCUCUGUAUUGCCAAAAAUGAAAUCUGAAUAAGAAAGUUCAUCACGAUUGAAGAAAGACAAAAAACUUCAACAUUUAUUGAUUAUCUGUAGUGUCCAGUAUAUUAACCAAUGACGUUAUACUUUAUAUUUUUUGUUCCAGAAUAGCUGUGUUCAGACUGUUGCAUAAGAAGCCCUGUGGAUUAUUAAAGAUAUGGUAAAAUAAUUCCAUUCCAAAAUAUAAUUUCUGAACGAACUUGGGAAUAAAUGCAUGGUUUUCCACAAUGAUGACUUCAAAGGAAAUGGUGCUCACUUGGAUCUUUGAUGGGACCUCUCUCUGUUGCCCAGGCUGACUUUGAACUCCUGGGCUAAGGGAUUCUGCCACCUAAGCCCCCUACGUAGCUGGGAUUACUGGAGUGUGCUACUGUGCUUGGCCAUGGAUCUUUUAACAUUUUAUAUACUAAAAGAGAAACAUUUUUAUGGCUUCAGUUCACAUACUUCUAUUUGUAUUACUGUAAGCAGAUUACUGUGUUUGGAAAGGUCAAUUCUCAAGGCUUCUCUUUCUACUUAGCAAUUAGUUCCAUGCUUUAUAUGUGCAAUGUAAACUGUGUAUCAGUUACCUGGAAUAUUUUUGUUUUGAAGUGUUUUCCUUUUUGUUUCAUCUAAAGAAAUGCUCAUAACCCAUUUUAUUAGACUCAGAAAAACCUUCUUGUUCUAUUCCCAAAUCAUCCAAUGUCAAGUUUGCCAAAGUUGACUGGUAUGGGAGAGGUCUUUACCAUACUGGUGAAUUACACAAGGUCAAAAUUUAUUUGCUUCGAUUUUUAAAGACAUCCAAGGGGGAAAAGGGAAGUAAAUGCUUGGUUAUUUAUUACAGUCCUGACUCUCAAUGUGGUUUCUAACUUCAGUGUCCUGUCUUUGUUGACUGUACCUUCACGUUUCAGUGCUCCUCCAAGGGGGCUGUUGGGCUCCUGGAGUUAUCUGUCCAUCAAAGCCAGAAGCCAACUCCUGGAGGCUGAGCUCGAGCCCAGGCAUGUCUAGGAAAUGUCUCUAUCUAGGUAUUACCUAACAGGUGAUUUUCUCAUUCUGCCAUGGGUAGUUAUAUUAAUACAGCAGAUACCUGGGACAGCAAAGUACCACCCACAUUAGCG